CCUACGGGAGGCAGCAGUGGGGAAUUUUGGACAAUGGGGGCGACCCUGAUCCAGCCAUGCCGCGUGCGGGAAGAAGGCCUUCGGGUUGUAAACCGCUUUUGUCAGGGAAGAAAAGCUGCGCGCUAAUACCGUGCGGUCAUGACGGUACCUGAAGAAUAAGCACCGGCUAACUACGUGCCAGCAGCCGCGGUAAU
rnacentral:rRNA from 1 species